GGAUUUGAGGGGCAUCUGUCACCCACUGAUCAGGGUUGCCUGGCUGGCUAGGUGCUCUCCCUUCCUCCCUCAUCAUUUGCAAAGCUGCACACUCGGUCAAAGAGAAUAGACAGAGGACUCGUCUAUGGUCCAAGAUGUGUGAGUAGCUGCCCUCCUCUCACCUCAACUAGCUCUUCAGGUCCAUCUGCAGGAGGAUGGAGACUGGAGCUUCAAGCCUUCAGGCAUAGCCAUGCUGCAUGAAUGUUAGUCUGCCUUUCUCU
rnacentral:snRNA from 1 species